CAGAAGAGAGAUAGAUUGAUUGAGUUGAUGCUGCAAAAGAUCAAAAGAUAGAGUUUGAAAUCUGAGUGUUAUAUAUGGUGAAAUCUGCUGCUGCUGCUGAAAAUCAAAAUCAUGGCAUAGCAAACACCAGAUCCAGCUACUUUGGAUUAUGAAGGCACUCCCGUCAAUUUCGGAUCCCUUAUGUAUUGACAUUCUUCAUUUACUACAAGGAAAAUCCAGGCCACCGCUCAGUUCCGUGGACUGAGCGGCUGCUAAGUCAAAGCCAAGCCAACGCUCAGUUCUGUGAACUGAGCGGACGCCAAAGGCAGACCCCUCAGUUCCGUGAACUGUAAGGCUGCUAAGGCAAAGGCAGGCAACCGUUUAGUUCCGUGAACUGAAAGGUUGCAAAGGCAGGCACCACUCGGUUCCGUGAACUGAGAGGCUGGAAAGAUGUGUGCUAAAUGAAGAAUGUCUGACUAACCAGAGCAGCUUCGGAAUAUAUACUAUAAGUGAUAGAGUUCAUGCUGCAAAAGAAUAGCA